CAGCCGCCGCGGUAAUACGGAGGGAGCUAGCGUUGUUCGGAGUUACUGGGCGUAAAGCGCACGUAGGCGGCUUUGUAAGUUAGAGGUGAAAGCCUGGAGCUCAACUCCAGAAUUGCCUUUAAGACUGCAUCGCUUGAAUCCAGGAGAGGUGAGUGGAAUUCCGAGUGUAGAGGUGAAAUUCGUAGAUAUUCGGAAGAACACCAGUGGCGAAGGCGGCUCACUGGACUGGUAUUGACGCUGAGGUGCGAAAGCGUGGGGAGCAAACAGGAUUAGAUACCCGCGUAGUCCCUGUCUCUUAUAC
rnacentral:rRNA from 1 species